rnacentral:tRNA from 1 species
GCUGGUGUAGCUCAGUCGGCAGAGCAGCCGCCUUGUAAGUGGCAGGUCGUCGGUCCGAUUCCGACCACCAGCU